GCUUGUCUCAAAGAUUAAGCCAUGCAUGUCUAAGUAUAAACGAUUUUAUACGUGAAACUGCGAAUGGCUCAUUAUAUCAGUUAUAGUUUAUUUGAUGGUCCUUACUAUUUGGAUAACCGUAGUAAUUCUAGAGCUAAUACAUGCAUCAAGCCCUGACUUCGGAAGGGGUGUAUUUAUUAGAUACAAUCAAACGCACCAACAUAAAACCUUGGUGAUUCAUAAUAACUGUUCGGAUCGUAUGGCUUUUUGCCGACGACAGAUCAUUCAAAUUUCUGCCCUAUCAGCUUUCGACGGUACUGUAGUGGACUACCGUGGCAUUAACGGGUGACGGAGAAUUAGGGUUCGAUUCCGGAGAGGGAGCCUGAGAAAUGGCUACCACAUCCAAGGAAGGCAGCAGG
rnacentral:rRNA from 1 species